rnacentral:tRNA from 1 species
UCCCUGUAGCUCAGUUGGUAGAGCAUGGUGUUUGCAACGCCAGGGUUGUGGGUUUGAUUCCCACGGGGAG